GGAGGAGUCGGAUAGUGGCCCAUUCCGGGGGGUUGCUAACCCCCUGAGCCGCAAGGCUCGCGUGAGUUCGAAUCUCACCUCCUCCG
rnacentral:tRNA from 1 species